rnacentral:rRNA from 1 species
GACGAACGCUGGCGGCGUGCUUAACACAUGCAAGUCGAGCGGUAAGGCCCUUUCGGGGGUACACGAGCGGCGAACGGGUGAGUAACACGUGGGUGACCUGCCCUCCAGCUCUGGGAUAAGCCUGGGAAACCGGGUCUAAUACUGGAUAUGACUCCAUGACGCAUGUUGUGGGGUGGAAAGCCUUGUGCGGCUGAGGAUGGGCCCGCGGCCUAUCAGCUUGUUGGUGGGGUGAUGGCCUACCAAGGCGACGACGGGUAGCCGGCCUGAGAGGGCGACCGGGCCACACUGGGACUGAGACACGGCCCAGACUCCUACGGGAGGCGAGCAGUGGGGAAUCUUGCGCAAUGGGCGAAAGCCUGACGCAGCGACGCCGCGUGAGGGAUGACGGCC